rnacentral:rRNA from 1 species
UACGUAGGGUGCAAGCGUUAAUCGGAAUUACUGGGCGUAAAGCGUCCGCAGGCGGUUUUAUAAGACAGAUGUGAAAUCCCUGGGCUCAACCUAGGAACUGCAUUUGUGACUGUAAAGCUAGAGUACGGCAGAGGGGGAUGGAAUUCCGCGUGUAGCAGUGAAAUGCGUAGAUAUGCGGAGGAACACCGAUGGCGAAGGCAAUCCCCUGGGCCUGUACUGACGCUCAUGGACGAAAGCGUGGGGAGCAAACAGG